rnacentral:sRNA from 1 species
UCCUCAAGAUAGGAUCUGAUUAGCCGGC